rnacentral:misc_RNA from 1 species
UCCAUCGGUGUCCGCUUCUCGCAGAUCUUUGCAUCGAUGUGGCCGGCCAAUGGAGUACUCCCAAGUGGUAGGCAACUCGUCGAUCUACAGUAUAGAGUCCAACAUUUGGGACUUGCUUGUUUCAGCGCCCCCUCUUCAGUUAUUGAUCUCUUUCCUGGGCCCUUGUUGUUGUGGAAUAAUGUGCGACAUUGGCUGCAAGCUAGCGCAACCAGACUGUUUUUGCCUGGCUCGUCAUCGAAGCAGCGACCUCUCUACAUCGCAUCCAGUUCCAGACCGCGCUGUCGUCAGACCGGCGAACAUGUCGUCCUCCCUGUUCUUGGCCCACAGCACCACGUACAGUCCAGCGAACAUUACAAUCUUCAUAGUCAUGUUGCCCAGAAGCUCUCAAAUUUUCUUGGUAUUUCUGUUGGAGCCAUUAACAUUUUUAAAGCAAGUUGUAUUAUUGAGCAUGCCAAAAACUGUGAUCUAGAGUAAUUCCUUGUUAGAAACUGUGAUCUAGAGUAAUUCCUUGUUCCAUUUUGAUUUUUAUUUCCAGCAAUAAAGGCACUGACUACUAGUAUUUUGUGCACUGUAGUAUUCCUUGAGCUAUUGAUCUGUCAACAAUAGGAAAUUCCUUGAGCUGAAUACUAGACGCAAAGCACCUGACCUAACGAAAGUUAAAUACUCCUAAAUACUAGACACAAAGCACCUAGACUAAGUCCAGAACACUCUUGUUGCAUUCAUACAAUACAGCAUGCAGACCAGUGUGGGGUGCUCUUAUGUCUGUUUUAUCCUGUUACUUCCAACAUAUCUCACAAGCUGGAUGUACAAGAGCAUGAUAUCUUCAGUCAGUCUGGUGAAAUUAUCACUACUAAGCUAUCUUAGUUCUUUGGUCUUGGUACCUAAUGCAUGGAUCUGCUAUGCCUCAAUUGAAAAUUAAUUAAUUUUCUAGCUAGCUAAAGUUGAUUGGAAAUUAAUUAAUAUAGUGUUGCUUCCUAUGGCAAUUGUGUAGGUCAUGUGUGACCUGCUUGGU